GUGCAAACGAGCUAACAACAAAGAAGUUCCCGGAGAAGAUCAAAUCGGGAAGAGAACCGUGGAUUGACGGAGUGCAGCUCCCGGUAACGCUGAUCGAACAUCGACCAGCUGGAGGAAAACGGCAUCUGCCGAGCGUUGGCGACGGCUUCCAGCGGCGAGUCCACCCGUCUCCUAGGGCCAGCUCAUCCGGCAGCGGGGCGUGUUCUUCUGGGUGGCAAAGGGCCGGAUCAAUUUGCGGUGUCUGGACAAGACUUUGAGGAAUCUUGAUGCCGUUUUCACGGUCAACCGCGGGUGCAUCUAAUCGACGUCAAAGCCGGAGCCGGAAUAGAUGCUAGAGGAGGGAACGGCACUAUUGUUCAUUUGGUGACUGGUCAAAGUACCACAACAAUCUUCCGGUGAAACGAGGGAUGCGGCCGUAUUAAAGGAGAAGGCUGCUGAAGAACUCAAGUCUGCGGCAUCGCUCUGGUGAGGAGACCACCAACACUCCGGAAGCUGUCCCAAUUGAGAAGGACCACCUGCUUGAGCGUCUGGAGAAGAUCGACACCUCGUCACCCUCGACAAAGACAGCCAGCGCCACCACCACCAAGGAAACCGGUGACGGCAGUUCGGCGGCCACAAACGACGUUGACAUGGAAAACCACGAUCUGAUCCAGCGGCUGGAGGCAUCUUGAAGUGUGAAGUGUGAAACUAAUAAAACUGUAUGAAAAAGACAAAAAAAAAUCCUAUGCCAAAACCGCAUUUAAUAUGAA